CAGGCGCCGCGGCCUGGACGCGUGGGUUCUACUCUGGACUCACACCAGGGACCACUUUGUGACGUUGCAUCCGUUCCUUCCCUUCGUCUCUUCCUCUCCGAGCCUCAGUUUCCCCAUCUUCCGAAAGGGGCCUGGCAUAUCCUGGGCAGGCAGAUGGUGGAUCAGAGGUAGUGAGGUGCCUACAAGGAAAUGCUCCCAACAGGGUGGCUUGGAGGAAUCCUCCUUCCUCAGCACUCAUGGGCCGGGCACUGUUCUAGGCCGUGGGGGUGGGGAUCGAGCAGUGGCCACACUGACAAAGCCCCUACCCUUGUGGAAGUGACAUUCUACUGAGGCCAUGGACACGUACAGUACCCAAGUAAGCAGUGAGAAGAUGGCACGGGCCACGGAGAAAAAUGAAGCAAGGUUGGCAGGACAGGGCGUGCUGUGCAAAGGCAACGCAGCCCCCAGGACCCACGGUGGGCCUCGCCCCAGGCCCUCCUUGCAAAGCUCUGAACUGCUCACUCCCAAACUGCUGGUUGUUCAAGGUCAUGGGAAACCUGCAGACUUGGCAUUCUCCAAGGGAGGUGGGCAGGAGGAGGGAGAGCAAGAGGAAGGAGAAGCCAGGAGGUGGGGUGGGACAGUCUUCCUCUGGGAGAGUCCCUAAGAGGGCCAGAGAGAGAGAGAGAGAGAGGGCUGGGGACUGGAAGACACCAGGGGAGAGCGGGUAUGGUCAGAGCUCCAAUGGACACGGUGUCCUGGAGGGUCAGGUCAAGAGAGACUUGUGCUGCUGGCUGGGCUCCAGCUGGGCCAGUGAGGCCUAGAGAAGGGCAGGGACUUGCCCAAGGCCGCAGUACAUAUGGGGGACAGAGAUGGGCUCCUAGAUCCUGCCACCAGGCACAGAGAAGGGCAAGAGAGGCCAGAGAGGAAAGGAGGAAAGAGGCUCAUGGAGCGGGGGCGCCAGUCUCUGUUUAGAGGGGCCAGGAGCCCCAGUGUGCUUCCCAGAGGCCAGCUAGAGCUUCCCAGGAGCACCAUGGGUGGUGCUGGGACUUCUACAGGACUCAGCAUGACUCAAAGGGCCCUGGGGAAUGCAUUCUGUUCCCCAGUCUCCCACCCUCCACCUGCCAGAAUGACAGAGGCUCCCCCAUGGAGAUUCCUGGCAUGCCCAGCCCCACGUCUGGGUUGAGAGUAGUGACUCAGAAGAAAAUGAAGGCUACUGCUAGCAACCAAAUGAGGCCUUUCAUGUGUGUUUCCUUCCUGGCUUCCUCCUGUUUUUCUCACACCUCUGAACCUGCUGUCAGGUGAAAAAUCAAGGUGGGCCCAAAAUGUAAGAGCUCAUGAAUUUGAUGGUGUUGGAGUGUCCUGGACAGUCCAGCCCUCAGGGGUGGGGAGCUGGGCAGAGAGGAAGGAGGGCAUUCCAGGGGCCAGGGCUAGAAGCAGAGGGACUCCAGGCCCAGAGUAGGAUUUCCAGGCUGAGGAAAGAGAGGCCGUGGGUGGGUAGAGGGUCCAGACCAGGACAGGGACACAGGGUGUAUCUGGAGGCUCAGUCAGAAAUAGCUCCCU